CACGUAGGGCGCAAGCGUUGUCCGGAAUUAUUGGGCGUAAAGAGCUCGUAGGCGGUCUGUUGCGUCCGCUGUGAAAACUCGGGGCUUAACCCCGAGCCUGCAGUGGAUACGGGCAGACUAGAGGUAGGUAGGGGAGAAUGGAAUUCCCGGUGUAGCGGUGAAAUGCGUAGAUAUCUGGAGGAACACCGGUGGCGAAGGCGGCAUCCUGGACCGGUAUUGACGCUGAGGCGCGAAAGCCAGGGGAGCAAACGGG
rnacentral:rRNA from 1 species